CUGUACGUGUUUGGUCUCAUUGGUUUUUCUCUCCUGUUAUGUCCGUGUGCAGGUUUCCCUCUCAACGACCAGCUCUUCCAGUUGAUCGUUCGCAGGAGCCUUCAAGACUCUGGACAAAGAUGAUAAUGGAAGGAUCAAAGUCAACAUCCAGGAGUGGCUUCAGUUGACCAUGCACUCAUAAAGCAUCAGGGAAAGCCUACAAAAAGACUACAUUCAUCUCUUCAUUCAUCUCUCUCGCUCUCAUUUAAAAUGUGUAUUUCAUAUUACCAUUGUUAUUAUUGUUUACGUCAUUCAGUUGUAAGAUGGCAUCGAUAGAGAUGGCAGCUUCGCUUCAAGUCCUUGGGAAACUGUGCAGUAUUUUUUAUUUUAUGUAUUAUUUCUUACAUUGUUAGCCCAGAAAACCUUAAGUGUUAUUUCAUACAGGUUAAACUAAAACAGGAAGCGCCCGUGCCUAGGUCUAUCCAACGCUGGUCUGACAAAUCGGAUUCCACGCUUCAAGAUUGCUUCGAUCACAUGGACUGGGAUAUGUUACGGGUAGCCUCAGACAAUAACUUUGACAUAUAUGCUGACUCGGUGAGCGAGUUUAUAAGGAAGUGUAUAGGAGAUGUUGU